rnacentral:rRNA from 1 species
AGAGUUUGAUCCUGGCUCAGGAUGAACGCUAGCGGCAGGCCUAAUACAUGCAAGUCGAACGGUGAUAGCAAUAUCAUAGUGGCGCACGGGUGCGUAACACGUAUGCAACCUACCUUAUACUGAGGGAUAGCCUUUCGAAAGGGAGAUUAAUACCUCAUAACACAUUGAACUGGCAUCAGUUUAUUGUUAAAGAUUUAUUGGUAUAAGAUGGGCAUGCGUCCAAUUAGUUAGUUGGCGAGGUAACGGCUCACCAAGACGAUGAUUGGUAGGGGAACUGAGAGGUUAAUCCCCCACACUGGCACUGAGAUACGGGCCAGACUCCUACGGGAGGCAGCAGUAGGGAAUAUUGGGCAAUGGAGGCAACUCUGACCCAGCCAUGCCGCGUGCAGGAAGAAGGCGUUAUGCGUUGUAAACUGCUUUUAUAUAGGAAGAAAUAGACCUUGCGAGGUAAGUUGACGGUACUAUAUGAAUAAGCACCGGCUAACUCCGUGCCAGCAGCCGCGGUAAUACGGAGGGUGCAAGCGUUGUCCGGAUUUA